rnacentral:rRNA from 1 species
UACGUAGGGUCCAAGCGUUGUCCGGAAUUAUUGGGCGUAAAGAGCUCGUAGGCGGUUUGUCGCGUCUGCUGUGAAAUCCCGAGGCUCAACCUCGGGCCUACAGUGGGGUACGGGCAGACUGGAGUGCGGUAGGGGGAGAAUGGAAUUCCUGGUGUAGCGGUGGAAUGCGCAGAUAUCAGGAGGAACACCAAUGGCGAAGGCAGCU